rnacentral:rRNA from 1 species
GGCUUAAAGAGGGGGACCUUCGGGCCUCUCGCGUCAGGAUAUGCCCAGGUGGGAUUAGCUAGUUGGUGGGGUAAAGGCUCACCAAGGCAACGAUCUCUAGCUGGUCUGAGAGGAUGAUCAGCCACACUGGAACUGAGACACGGUCCUGACUCCUACGGGAGGCAGCAGUGGGGAAUAUUGCACAAUGGGCGCAAGCCUGAUGCAGCCAUGCCGCGUGUAUGAAGAAGGCCUUCGGGUUGUAAAGUACUUUCAGUGGUGAGGAAGGUUAUGUAUUUAAUAGAUGCGUAGCUUGACGUUAGCCACAGAAGAAGCACCGGCUAACUCCGUGCCAGCAGCCGCGGUAAUACGGAGGGUGCGAGCGUUAAUCGGAAUUACUGGGCGUAAAGCGCAUGCAGGUGGUCUGUUAAGUCAGAUGUGAAAGCCCGGGGCUUAACCUCGGAAUAGCAUUUGAAACUGUCAGACUAGAGUACUGUAGAGGGGGGUAGAAUUUCAGGUGUAGCGGUGAAAUGCGUAGAGAUCUGAAGGAAUACCGGUGGCGAAGGCGGCCCCCUGGACAGAUACUGACACUCAGAUGCGAAAGCGUGGGAGCAAACAGGAUUAGAUACCCUGGUAGUCCACGCCGUAAACGAUGUCUACUUGGAGGUUGUGGCCUUGAGCCGUGGCUUUCGGAGCUAACGCGUUAAGUAGACCGCCUGGGGAGUACGGUCGUAAGAUUAAAACUCAAAUGAAUUGACGGGGGCCCGCACAAGCGGUGGAGCAUGUGGUUUAAUUCGAUGCAACGCGAAGAACCUUACCUACUCUUGACAUCUACAGAAGCUUGCGGAGACGCGAGUGUGCCUUCGGGAACUGUAAGACAGGUGCUGCAUGGCUGUCGUCAGCUCGUGUUGUGAAAUGUUGGGUUAAGUCCCGCAACGAGCGCAACCCUUAUCCUUGUUUGCCAGCACGUAAUGGUGGGAACUCCAGGGAGACUGCCGGUGAUAAACCGGAGGAAGGUGGGGACGACGUCAAGUCAUCAUGGCCCUUACGAGUAGGGCUACACACGUGCUACAAUGGCACAUACAGAGGGCAGCCAACUUGCAAAAGUGAGCGAAUCCCAAAAAGUGUGUCGUAGUCCGGAUCGGAGUCUGCAACUCGACUCCGUGAAGUCGGAAUCGCUAGUAAUCGUGGAUCAGAAUGCCACGGUGAAUACGUUCCCGGGCCUUGUACACACCGCCCGUCACACCACGGGAGUGGGCUGCAAAAGAAGUAGGUAGUUUAACCUUCGGGGGGACGCUUACCACUUUGUGGUUCAUGACUGGGGUGAAGUCGGAACAAGGUA